rnacentral:rRNA from 1 species
AUUGAACGCUGGCGGCAGGCUUAACACAUGCAAGUCGAGCGGAGAUGAGGUGCUUGCACCUUAUCUUAGCGGCGGACGGGUGAGUAAUGCUUAGGAAUCUGCCUAUUAGUGGGGGACAACAUUCCGAAAGGAAUGCUAAUACCGCAUACGUCCUACGGGAGAAAGCAGGGGAUCUUCGGACCUUGCGCUAAUAGAUGAGCCUAAGUCGGAUUAGCUAGUUGGUGGGGUAAAGGCCUACCAAGGCGACGAUCUGUAGCGGGUCUGAGAGGAUGAUCCGCCACACUGGGACGGAAGCACGGCCCAGACUCCUACGGGAGGCAGCAGUGGGGAAUAUUGGACAAUGGGGGAAACCCUGAUCCAGCCAUGCCGCGUGUGUGAAGAAGGCCUUAUGGUUGUAAAGCACUUUAAGCGAGGAGGAGGCUACUGAGACUAAUACUCUUGGAUAGUGGACGUUACUCGCAGAAUAAGCACCGGCUAACUCUGUGCCAGCAGCCGCCGUAA